AGAAACAGUACCGGGGGCGGGCCGAGCGACGCAGCCGGGACGGGAGCUGCAGCGCAGAGCGGAGGAGCCAUCUUGUCUUGUCGCCGGGGAGUCAGGCCCCUAACUCGAAGAAGCCCUGGCGCGCCCUCCCCCCCUCCCCGGUCUGGUAGGGCGAAGGAGCGGGCGUGCGGUCGAUCGAGCGAUCGGUUGGCGGCUCUUCCUCCUGCUCUGGCAUCCAGCUCUUGGGGCGCAGGCCCGGCCGCCGCGGCGCGCGCCCGGUGGCCGUUGGCGCUCGCGCCGCGUCUUUCUUCUCGUCCGCAGAACUCGGGCGGCGGCCUAUGCGUUUGCGAUUCGACGAGGAGUCGUCCGGGUGGUCGGCGGCGGCGGGCAGCUGCUCCGCCCCGCUCCCGGGGAGGCGGCGGGGGAGGCUGGGGUGGCCGGGGCCGGCCUGGAGGCCUGGCGCCACCCUUCCGGGCCUGCUAGGACGCAGCUGGAGGGACAGGAGGGAGCGGGAGGAUGGUUGGUGGUGGGCUUUCUCCUCUGCCUUUUCCUACUUAUGCCACCUUAGCGGGGGGGCGGGAGCUCUGGCGGCAGCUCCGGAGUGGGGAUUCGAGCUCCGGAGUCGGAAGAUGUGGGUUUGCUUCCGGGCCUAGCCACCCGCUGGCCGAGUGACCUUAGGCAAGUCACUCUGUAAUUUGUCUGCGCCUCAGUUUCCUCCUCUGCCUAUCAGUGUGUGUAUGGGAUUGAAAGCGCUUUUACAAAAGCGUCCGUUUACAUAAAGGAUGAUUAUCGUUUUUAUUUUUUGAGUUGCGAGAAGACUUAGCAAUUGCUCAUUCCCAGGAGUUAAAUCCGGGAACCUUUUAUUGGAGUUGGAGAUCGGCAGGCUCCUUGAAUUUGUGUGCAGAAACGUGUGGGAAAGUGCGUUCUUGGGGAAUGGGCGGAUCCAUCGAUAGCAAGUUUUCAAAGGGGGCUGUGACCCAGAAGAGUUUGAAACAAUUUUAUGCCACCGGGAGGAAACUGAGGCCUACAUGUCAUUUGGGACCCAUCACAACCAAUUUGAAGCCCCCAUUUGAGUCCCUGGUAUAUGUGAGCUGCUUCUUAAUGCAUAAUGGCUAUUUCGGGUAACAUCAUUUCACUGCUUGGCUUCUAUUCUAAGCCCUUUCCUCUCACCGUAGGGUGCCUGAAGGGUGGCAGAUACACAUGGUACAGUGGCACCCAAUGUAAAGCAGCUACAAUUAGGAGUGAAUGUGUUCAGUAGUAUCAAGAAAUGUAAUCCUUGGCCCAGCAAUUGUUUUUCUGCUGCUUGUACUGGUGCCUGACUACUUUUCUUUCAUUGACCAUUUUCUACGACCAUGGUUGACAUCCGUCGUUUGCUCCUAUUUUGUAUCCCUGGUUUGCGUGGUUGAUAGUGAACAGGCUUAUUUUUAAAUGGUGCUGCCAAACCCAGCUAAUGGUGCAGGUGGAUAUUUAGCAAGCGGGCUCCCUGAAGCAGACUGAACCAGGCAUUGGAUUCCUGAGACUGUUUGGGAUUAUUUUUGGUUUGGCUUGUUUGGUUUGGUUCUUAUUAAUUGAAGGUUAACAAUCUCUGAAAAGUUUUGUUGGACUCUGGUUGAACCACAAACUCAGUAUAUUUGGAAGUAAUUUGAAGCUUACCUUUUUCCUGGCCAGCCUUGUAUUCUAAUUGCUUGCAAGUGUGAGACUGAAAUGGCCAAAAUGCCGUUUUUGUUUUUUUUUUGUUUAUUUCUGUUCAUUGUCAGCUGCUUUCCUCAAAUUGCAGGCCAUUAUCCAGCAAACACUAUAAAAAUGUUUGAACAGUUGCAUUUCAAACAUUUUCGUUUUGUGGAGUGGUGCUUAUCAAGUGGUACAGCUCUCGAAGCAAGUGAACACAACAUAUUUAAGUGUAUUUUGUAUGAUUAGAGGUUACCAAUUCCGAUAUUUUAUUCAAAUGUAUAUAAAAAUUAAGUUGACUAUUCCCUUUACCAAAGGGCCAGAGACAAAUGAUUUCCCUUCAAGAGAAAUGACUGUUUUGGAGAAAAAUGUGUUGGUCUUAGUUCUUUUGUAAUUAAAUCUGGAUGUACCUCAAAAGACUCUUUAAGACUGUGGUGUUAAAAGGCUUUCCUCUGGAGAAAGGAGGAGAAAGGAGAAAAAGAAAAAUCAACUGGAAUUUAAAAGCUUGAAAUUCCGUGACAAAGCACAGAUGUCCAGGAUUGGAGGUUCAUGAAGUGUUUGCAGUAGUUGGAGCAGAUACACUUUUCUGUGUAACUGCCACUGUGGACUCCAGGUUUCCAGAUUUUCAAUCACUGGACCUGUGACCCAGAAGAGCUUGUCAAGAUGUGGCAGGAACUCUGGAGGUAGAUGUCUUGUACUUUCCAAUUUUGGAAAUGUUGAUUUUGCUGUGUGUAAAGAGGCAACAAGUCAACAAGCACUGCCACCAGCGCUGUUACUGGGAACUUGAAGACCUGGGUUUCUGUCCAGAUCCUCAGUGCAAACUGACAACACUCCAUCCAAAGUGAACCUACGUCCUGUGCCUCCUGAUUGCUGAGUCUUCACCUGGACCCUGUGAUGACCUUCCUUCUGCUAGUCCAUCAGCCUGCAGAACUGAUACCUGGAUUUCUGUCCAUGGUGAUUCCUACCACCUUACUACUGAAGAAGACACCAUUCCAGUGGACCACUGUGACCCAAGAAGCAUUCAGCCAUCAUGAUGUGACCUUUACCUCCACUCCUGUUCUUCUCUGCCCAGAUUCAGCACAGCCCUUUAUAGUGCAGUCGAGAGUCUUCAAGCCAAAUAACUGAAGCUAUUUUAUCACAAUAAAGGCCAAGUUUAUUCCAUAAAUGUACAGUUCAUUUCUGCAGUUAAAAGUCUUCAGAGACACAUAGUAAACUUGGACCAGGGGACUUUGUGUUUUGUUUUGUUUGUGAAUUGUCAACACUGUCUGAAAACGGCAUCAUCUCUGAAAACAGCAUUGGAACAUACUCCACAAUCUCAAAUGACUGAAGUUUAAUGAACUGAUUAGGAUCCUGUCAAGGUCACUGGACUCUUGUUUUUCUUUUUUUUUUUUUCCUCCUUCAAAUCUGUAGCUGUCUACUGAAUGAGAAAGCAGACAUUUUGACCCAUUGGGAUCAAAACUAAGGCACAUCGAAUUCCUCAUAGUGUCAUCUUUGGGUUACUCAGGAACCAAAACUUUUCAGACCAAUAUAAGAAAUUCUACUAAGGAAUCCCUUUACCUAACCAUCUCACCAGGCUUCAACCAGAUUCCGGAAAAGACUUCUGAUACAUCAAGAUAGAACCUAUAUGCAUUUUGUGAACAACUUAUCCUUAUCACUGAUUUACCAAGGGCUUUGUGCUUAAUGAAGUCCUUUGAAGGAAAGCUAUGUGGAAGUCUAGAGUAAAGUGAAGCUGCUCUGGAGUAGGGAUCUGCAGCCUGCCACAACUAUUCCUUUAUCAUCGUGGUGACAACUAAAGGGACUUCUUUAUGGAAAAUUCUUCAGAAGAUACUGCUGGAAACCACUGCCCUAGACAACAUGUUUAACCUGAAUGACAUUCUGACCUUAUGUGUAUUUCCAAUUCUAUAUAGUUCAUAUUCAGUUGAUGCCGAACAUGUUUGGAGAUGGGUAUGCCUUUGUCCAGAGAACCAUCAUCAUACAGCGUUGUCAAGUGAAAUUUUAUUAAUAGCAUUCCAUCCAAGGUGGACUUCCUGGAGUUGGAUAUAGCCAGAGAGCAAUACAUGUGUAUCCUACACCGAAGAACCCCAUUAACUUUCACAAACCUGUACCUAGUGGUACUGGAAGUAUGUGGCUUGGAAGUCUUGGAACUUGGAUAUAGGAAUUGCCUGAAAGCUGGUAUUGAAGCUGAUGCCUCAUUGAGGCCAUCUUAGACCAAGUUGUUUAUUUGACCUCUCCACAUAAACUAUGGUACUCCACGUACAAAGGAUAAUCAUUAACUAUGAAGCAAAAUCCAAAUACAGUUUUUCCUAAAGGGACUUGUAACCUGAUUAUCAUUCACUGUCUCAAUUUCAACUCAUGUGACUAGUAAUUAAACUGCUCCAUGGUUUUCUGUUAUUAACUACUGUUUCCAGAGCUUAAAGAAAAAUUAAAUUCUUCCAACACUUGUUAUUUCUGCCUUUUCAAAAUUAAUUUAACUACUCACCUCUACAUGGAACAGAUGAUCGUGAAGACAUACUCUGAACAUCCUUUAUCAUAUGUGACUUAAAACAUAUCUGGACAAUUUUCCUCUACCAUUGGGAUAUUCUUUAAUGAUUAUUCUUCAGGCCUGGUACCAUCAGCUGUAUGUGAUGGGCAUAGUUGGAUGCAGAUUCUUUGACUCUAGGCCAUGAUAGCUUGCUAGACAUUUCAAGUAGCAUAUUGUCAACCUUCUUGCUGGAAAAUUAGACUAACUUGGGAAAAAUAAUCUAUAAAUGGCAGCUAAGGAUUUUUUCAAUAUUCUUGAGUGUUUUUCCUGUUGGAUAUUUUAAUGGAGUUCCAUCUGUCUCAUACUAUCACUUUACACAGGUUCAGAGUGACUGUAUUCUUUACUAUGAAGUAUUCUUAAGACAUUAAGAUUAUUUUUUUUGUAGAAAGGAUAAAAUCCCUGAAUACCGAAAUCAUAGUGAACAAGACUUUGUGACCUGAGAAAAUCUCAUUCUUCAACUUCAUAGUCAAAGGGCCAACUUACCAUCAGCUACUCUUGAGCACAUUGGGUAAACGUUGGAACUGCCGCUUUUUAUAUUCUUGUUUCUUACCCUCUAACCAUGGUUGUAUGAUUGUUGACACAAAUCAGCAAAUCAAACUCAAAUCCAGUUAUUCUAAACUGCUCACAGUCAGCAAAUCAAAAUCAGGAUGAUUUCUGCUUUUAUCUGCAACUAUUAUUUGUAAAGAAGAAAUCACAGAUUCACUUUUCUAUUAUCUCUACAUUAUUAGCUCUUUCUUUUUACAGUAUUUGCAGGAAAAAAAAAACUACACUGCCAGUCAUUCCUUCUGAUUCUGCCAUACUCCGUUUAAAUGAGCAAUCAAGAAUCUAAUCAGUGAUUGGAUAAAUAGAAAAAACUAAAACUUAAGGCAAAAGCCUUAUUCUAGGGCCUUGUCUACUGUCUUCAUGCCUUGGAGCUCAUCUAAAUCUUAAACAGUGCCACCCAACCAACCAAUCUGAGGCCUUGACUUGCCUUUAAGAUGAUUCUUGGCGAUGGGCUGUAUUACAGAAGGGGAAGACUUGAUUACCAAAGAAAGUAGAGCCAACUACAACAAACCUGGCUCUACAAUCCUGUUGCUCUCAAAUGUAGCAUAGACUCCUAAAUAGAACCUCAAGUCUGCAUUGAGGAUAUAGCCUUCUAAGCUGACAGUUCUUGCACAGAUGAGCAGGAAAAUGAAAGCUGCUAUACCCAGCUGGCCCUUUAAGAUACAAAAAAAAAUUUUGUCUGGAGUAAACCCUGUGGAUUACCUCUGGAGUACCCAGGACAAAAACUAAUUUAUAGAGCUUCAUUAUUAAUCUGCCUGUUCUUCCAGAUUAUAGUUUAACUAUUGGUGUGACUGGCCUGCUGAAGUUAUUCUGUCUGUUUACCUAUCUUCAGCUCUUAACCUGCCUGUUUUGACAUGCUACUGCAAUCAGACUAACUGGCCUUGAGAAUAAUACCAUCAGUUUCAGACUCGUGCCCAGUUCCAUCAACGAAUUUUGAAUAGAAGGAACCUGUACCAUACCCUACUAGAACUUAAUAUUCACAACAGGGAGGAGCAUGCUGCAUACCCCUUGACCAACAUUUUUAAGUAGAGAAUAACCCUGCUUAUUUUCAACACCUGAAUCAUCUGUUUGAUCUAACAGAAGUAUAUCACGUUGAAAAGAAAGAGAACAUUGCUUUUUUUCUGUAAUAACUAAGAAAUGAAUAUGAUUGACCAGGACUAAGAAAUUAUAAGUUCACCUUGAGACAUAAAGCAACACCAGAACUUGACCACUGAACUUAAUUUGCAGCUAACUCAAACAGCUUCAAACUGUUUGCCAAGUAGGAGAAUGGUUUUCCUGCUUCACAUCACCAAUGAUAAAUCUGACUUGAAUGGAAACUCUGUGGUGAAUCCUCGAGCUUCCGCUAAUGGAAAUUAUCAUUCAUUCAAGUGAUUUGUAGGUUUCCUAAGGACAGGACAGACAUUGCUCCUGGUGAUUUUUAGAAUUUGAUUACCAAGGAAGAAAUAGCAACUACUAUAAGCCAACUUUAUGGGCAAAGAUUAAGCUCUGUAUUUGGCCUUAUCCCUGGAUGUUGUUUUUUAUUGCCCAUUCCAUCUCACUAUAACAACUUCCUGAUAUUUUUUGGAACCAUCUCUUCCAGUUUUCAGUCCAUGUGGUUUAGACACUUGUUGAAUCUUGUGCUGGACAUGUUAUUACAACCUCAUCAAUCAGCAAAGUCCUUCUUGACUCUAGUGAUUGGUUCAGGAAUGGAUCAUGAUUCAAGUUUGUCCAAUGAUAAUCAGCCCUAGGUGGUUUACUCAGUUGUGGAGAAGUUCCCUUAACUUAGAUGCUUUAGCUUUGUGGGAGAAAAACUCAAACCAACAGGGCCUACUAUGUUGAAUGAGCCAGGCAGAAAAUGAAGCCAGUUCAGAGGGAAACAGCCAAAAGAGCAAAAGACUUGAGUUCUGAUGACAACAUUUAUGCCCCCUGGAUCCAACUGUGCCUGAAGCUAGUGGUAUAUCCCCUGGACUUUGCAGUUAUGUGAACCAAUAAAUAACCCUUUUUGUUGAAGUUA